GUUUAUUUAAGUUUUUUAUUUCAUUUCCAGCAGCAGCAGCAGCAGCAGCAGCAGCAGGCCUCAAGCGAUGGUUGGUAUGGUUUGGUAUGGUGUGGAAUGGGAUGGGAUGAUUGGAGAUGAAUGUGAAGAGUACCCAAUAGAUAUGCUUGCUAUGCUUUUAUGAUUGUGCCAAUGGCUGCUGCCGUCGCCACACACAGCACAGAUACAAACGAACUUAUGCCUAAUGGCGGGAUUGUUGCUGCCUAUCCGCUUCUUCGCUCCCACUGGCCCCUGCAGCACACAUUGUUGCGCUGUUGUUGCGUCGUUGUCAAUAUUGAGCUUGAUUAUUAAAUGACACAUUAUGUGAUUUCCAACAUGCUCACUGGGGAGGAGGGGAAAGCGGUCUGGCUGCGGCUGGUGUCGGACAGUUGUUCCAACUUUGAGCGUAAUUCAAAGGAGACCCGACGGGGCGUCAUCCCGGUCCAUCUGUUCCAUCCUCAUCCUCCGAGCGGCCAGUUACAUGACAUGGAAGUCAUUUUGUAAUACAUUGAGUACGUGCGCUGAUUGGGGCAGUAGUGGGGGUAGCGAUGGGUUAGCCAGGGAGAUCUAAGGCUAAGAUGUACAUAUGGACAGAUUUAGAUAGAAUAUUUAUCUACUUCCAAGCACUAAUAGACGAACAAUUUUUGAG
rnacentral:lncRNA from 1 species